rnacentral:tRNA from 1 species
GGAGGUGUGACAGAGUGGUCGAAUGUACCGGUCUUGAAAACCGGCGUACCGCAAGGUACCGGGGGUUCGAAUCCCUCCGCCUCCG